UGCGAUCGGGUGAACUGUGGUUAAGGAACUCGGCAAAUUGCCCCCGUAACUUCGGGAGAAGGGGGGCCUCCGCUGUGAUCAGACUUGCUUUGUGAGCUGGUGGGGGUCGCAGAGGCCAGGGGGAAGCGACUGUUUACUAAAAACACAGGUCCGUGCGAAGUCGUAAGACGAUGUAUACGGACUGACGCCUGCCCGGUGCUGGAACGUUAAGGGGACCGGUUAGCGCAUUUCGGUGUGCGAGGCUGAGAACUUAAGCGCCAGUAAACGGCGGUGGUAACUAUAACCAUCCUAAGGUAGCGAAAUUCCUUGUCGGGUAAGUUCCGACCUGCACGAAUGGCGUAACGACUUCCCCGCUGUCUCAACCGCAGACCCGGCGAAAUUGCACUACGAGUAAAGAUGCUCGUUACGCGCAGCAGGACGGAAAGACCCCGGGACCUUCACUACAGCUUGACAUUGGCGUUUGGAACGUCUUGUGUAGGAUAGGUGGGAGACUGUGAAGCUGUCACGCUAGUGGCGGUGGAGUCAUUGGUGAAAUACCACUCUGGUCGUUUUGAACGUCUAACUUCGGUCCGUGAUCCGGAUCAGGGACAGUGUCUGGUGGGUAGUUUAACUGGGGCGGUUGCCUCCUAAAGAGUAACGGAGGCGCCCAAAGGUUCCCUCAGCCUGGUUGGUAAUCAGGUGUCGAGUGUAAGUGCACAAGGGAGCUUGACUGUGAGACCGACGGGUCGAGCAGGAGCGAAAGCUGGGACUAGUGAUCCGGCGGUGGCAUGUGGAAGCGCCGUCGCUCAACGGCUAAAAGGUACCCCGGGGAUAACAGGCUGAUCUUCCCCAAGAGUCCAUAUCGACGGGAUGGUUUGGCACCUCGAUGUCGGCUCGUCGCAUCCUGGGGCUGGAGUAGGUCCCAAGGGUUGGGCUGUUCGCCCAUUAAAGCGGUACGCGAGCUGGGUUUAGAACGUCGCGAGACAGUUCGGUCCCUAUCCGCUGCGCGCGCAGGAGACUUGAAAGGAGCUGUCCCUAGUACGAGGGGACCGGGACGGACGAACCUCUGGUGUGCCAGUUGUUCCGCCAGGAGCAUGGCUGGUUGGCUACGUUCGGAAGGGAUAACCGCUGAAAGCAUCUAAGCGGGAAGCUCGCCUUGAGAUGAGGUCUCCCACCACGAAAGUGGGUAAGGCCCCCGGGAGACGACCGGGUUGAUAGGCCGGAGGUGGAAGCAUGGUAACGUGUGGAGCUGACCGGUACUAAUAGGCCGAGGACUUGACCAC
rnacentral:rRNA from 1 species